UCUACCUGUUUAAAACAAAUAGAAGCCUCAGAGAGGUCGCUAAGGCAGAAGUUCAUAAACAGACAGUUCGUGUGUUUGAUUCAAAUGAGAAAGAAUUUUAGAGUGUCGCCACAGGAUUAUUCCAGAGUGCAUUUGAAAAAUAAGAUUCUGGGUGCAAGAUUCUGAAAUAACCGCAGCUUUACAAGAACACACCUCCUACAUUAGAGAAACAUUCUGCAGAAAAGUCCACCAGGCCCAAGUAGUUACAGCAGCUGAGCGGCCCAUCUGGGAAACAACUCUGGAAGCCCUUCAGAUAAAUUCACCGGGGCAGGGUAGUCACUGAGCCUUGCCAGCUCAUUUGUGGCCAGUAUUUUUCACAGAUGCUCCCUGUGUUAGGUAAGGCCUUUGCCAAGUCAUCAUCCAAGUUAUUCUCCAUCUGACGAGAGCCAACUUCUCAUCACCACCUAUUCUUCAGUGGCUCCCUAUUGCCUCUUGUGUAGAAUGAACACUCCUCAGGAAGACUUCAGAGACUGUCACGUCUAGACCCCUGCCCCUCUCUCUCUGGUCUUGCCUUGCAGCCCUCUUCCUCUUCCUCACCCCCACACUCUGCUCCAGCAACAUUGGUCCUUUGUCCAGGCUACCCCUCUCCUUGAAGCACUUUUCCUCUUCCCAUUGCCUGGCUAAUUUCUCACUUAUGCAUCAGACUAGAUUAGGCCCCUUUGCUAAGGUGGGAACUAGUGCACACACAGCUUUGAGAAAAGUUUCUCCAGACAAAAAUUAGUAUAUAAAAGUAUACAAUUUAUUUUAUUUUAUUAGCAGGGGAGAGGAAGUGUGAGAGUGAAAGGGAGAG